ensembl:miRNA
CCCCACCCUGCCUUCCUGGAGACUCCUGCUCUUCCUCUGACAGGUACCCAGAUUGAGGCUGGGCUGGGUGGCCUGCAGGUGGCAGGGGAUGGAGUGGAGAGAGUCUGCAGCUCAGGCUC